rnacentral:lncRNA from 1 species
GAAUGAUCCCAUCUUCCACCGUGUUUAAUUAAAAUUGAUACGCAAUUGUCUAUAUCAAUAAAAUCAAUUUUUUCAAUGAAAAAAAUAUUCAACUAUUCGUUCCUGAGAUUUUUUUUUUGGAUGAAGAAUGAAAAGAGAGAAACUUUGAUGAAAAGAAGGAAAUGAUCUGAUUAGAUUUAAUUUUAACGGAAUUGAGUUAAUUAAGGAUAAAAAAUAAUGUUAAUUUGUUUGGAUUCCUUAUUUAGUGCUAAUCAUUAAUUAUCUAUAAUAAUUUCAAAUUAAAUAACAGCCCACAAAUUCAGUCUUUAAAUUUAUUGUUUUUU